rnacentral:lncRNA from 1 species
UCUGUAAUGAUAACUAUAUGUUUAAUGUUUUAACAGAAGACCGUUUUUAAUAACGAAUAUGACACCUUAUAAAUGAUGUGCGUUCGAAUUUGGUUUUUGUAUUAUUACAUUACUAACAUUCAACAGGAACACCAAAACCCAACAAUUUGAAAACCAUAAAAACCUGAACACGUCACUAACUAUAUAAAUAAUAUAAAAAAGACCGAAAU